CCUCCGUUCUGCCGCCGUGGGGGCUAUUGCACCAUGGGGGAAACCCUGAUGCAGCGACGCCGCGUGUGGGAAGACGGUCCUCUGGAUUGUAAACCACUGUCCCCAGGGACGAAGAUGACGGUACCUGGGGCGGAAGCUCCGGCUAACUACGUGCCAGCAGCCGCGGUAAUACGUAGGGAGCGAGCGUUGUCCGGAAUUACUGGGUGAAAAGGGAGCGUAGGCGGGACUGCAAGUUGGGUGUCAAAUCUACCGGCUCAACCGGUAGCUGCACGCAAAACUGCAGUUCUUGAGUGAAGUAGAGGCAGGCGGAAUUCCUAGUGUAGCGGUGAAAUGCGUAGAUAUUAGGAGGAACACCAGUGGCGAAGGCGGCCUACUGGACGGUGACUGACGCUGAGGCUCGAAAGCGUGGGGAGCAAACAGGAUUAGAUACCCCAGUAGUC
rnacentral:rRNA from 1 species